GGAACCUAGGAGAUGAGUCUG
rnacentral:siRNA from 1 species